rnacentral:rRNA from 1 species
CCAGCCAUGCCGCGUGCAGGAAGACGGCCCUAUGGGUUGUAAACUGCUUUUAUAUAGGAAGAAACACUCUCACGUGUGAGAGCCUGACGGUACUGUAAGAAUAAGGACCGGCUAACUCCGUGCCAGCAGCCGCGGUAAUACGGAGGGUCCAAGCGUUAUCCGGAAUCAUUGGGUUUAAAGGGUCCGUAGGCGGACUAUUAAGUCAGAGGUGAAAGUUUGCAGCUCAACUGUAAAAUUGCCUUUGAUACUGGUAGUCUUGAGUUAUUAUGAAGUGGUUAGAAUAAGUAGUGUAGCGGUGAAAUGCAUAGAUAUUACUUAGAAUACCAAUUGCGAAGGCAGAUCACUAAUAAUAUAUUGACGCUGAGGGACGAAAGCAUGGGGAGCGAACAGGAUUAGAUACCCUGGUAGUCCACGCCGUAAACGAUGGAUACUAGCUGUUCGCUUCGGUUAGUGGCUAAGCGAAAGUGAUAAGUAUCCCACCUGGGGAGUACGUUCGCAAGAAUGAAACUCAAAGGAAUUGACGGGG